UACGUAGGGGGCUAGCGUUAUCCGGAAUUAUUGGGCGUAAAGGGUGCGUAGGCGGUCCUACAAGUCAGAGGUGAAAGGCUACGGCUCAACCGUAGUAAGCCUUUGAAACUGUAGGACUUGAGUGCAGGAGAGGAGAGUGGAAUUCCCAGUGUAGCGGUGAAAUGCGUAGAUAUUGGGAGGAACACCAGUUGCGAAGGCGGCUCUCUGGACUGUAACUGACGCUGAGGCACGAAAGCGUGGGGAGCGAACAGG
rnacentral:rRNA from 3 species